GACGAACGCUGGCGGCGUGCCUAAUACAUGCAAGUAGAACGCUGAAGGAGGAGCUUGCUUCUCUGGAUGAGUUGCGAACGGGUGAGUAACGCGUAGGUAACCUGCCUGGUAGCGGGGGAUAACUAUUGGAAACGAUAGCUAAUACCGCAUAAGAGUAGAUGUUGCAUGACAUUUGCUUAAAAGGUGCAAUUGCAUCACUACCAGAUGGACCUGCGUUGUAUUAGCUAGUUGGUGAGGUAACGGCUCGCCAAGGCAACGAUACAUAGCCGACCUGAGAGGGGGAUCGGCCACACUGGGACUGAGACACGGCCCAGACUCCUACGGGAGGCAGCAGUAGGGAAUCUUCGGCAAUGGACGGAAGUCUGACCGAGCAACGCCGCGUGAGUGAAGAAGGUUUUCGGAUCGUAAAGCUCUGUUGUAAGAGAAGAACGAGUGUGAGAGUGGAAAGUUCACACUGUGACGGUAUCUUACCAGAAAGGGACGGCUAACUACGUG
rnacentral:rRNA from 1 species